rnacentral:rRNA from 1 species
UACAGAGGGUGCAAGCGUUGCUCGGAUUUACUGGGCGUAAAGCGUACGCAGACGGUAAGAAAGGUCGGAUGUGAAAGCCCCGGGCUCAACCCGGGAACUGCAUCCGAAACCAUCUUGCUAGAGUAUGAGAGAGGGAAGCGGAAUUCCUGGUGUAGAGGUGAAAUUCGUAGAUAUCAGGAGGAACACCGGCGGCGAAGGCGGGUCUCUGGGCCGAUACUGACGCUGAGGAGCGAAAGCGUGGGGAGCGAACAGG